rnacentral:rRNA from 1 species
CCUACGGGUGGCAGCAGUGAGGAAUAUUGGUCAAUGGGCGAGAGCCUGAACCAGCCAAGUCGCGUGAAGGAUGAAGGAUCUAUGGUUUGUAAACUUCUUUUAUAAGGGAAUAAAGUGCGGGACGUGUCCCGUUUUGUAUGUACCUUAUGAAUAAGGAUCGGCUAACUCCGUGCCAGCAGCCGCGGUAAUACGGAGGAUCCGAGGGUUAUCCGGAUUUAUUGGGUUUAAAGGGAGCGUAGAUGGGUUGUUAAGUCAGUUGUGAAAGUUUGCGGCUCAACCGUAAAAUUGCAAUUGAUACUGGCAGUCUUGAGUACAGUUGAGGUAGGCGGAAUUCGGGGUGUAGCGGUGAAAUGCUUAGAUAUCACGAAGAACUCCGAUUGCGAAGGCAGCUUACUAAACUGCCACUGACAUUGAUGCUCGAAAGUGUGGGUAUCAAACAGGAUUAGAUACCCUAGUAGUC